UACGGGGGGGGCAAGCGUUGUUCGGAAUUACUGGGCGUAAAGGGUCCGUAGGUGGCCAACUAAGUCAGACGUGAAAUCCCUCAGCUUAACUGGGGAACUGCGUCUGAUACUGGUUGGCUUGAGUGCAGGAGAGGAACGCGGAAUUCCAGGUGUAGCGGUGAAAUGCGUAGAUAUCUGGAGGAACACCGGUGGCGAAGGCGGCGUUCUGGACUGCAACUGACACUGAUGGACGAAAGCCAGGGGAGCAAACGGG
rnacentral:rRNA from 1 species